UACAAAGGGGGCUAGCGUUGCUCGGAAUCACUGGGCGUAAAGCGCACGUAGGCGGAUCGUUAAGUCGGGGGGUGAAAUCCUGGAGCUCAACUCCAGAACUGCCUCCGAUACUGGCGAUCUUGGAGUCCGGGAGAGGUGAGUGGAACUCCGAGUGUAGAGGUGAAAUUCGUAGAUAUUCGGAAGAACACCAGUGGCGAAGGCGGCUCCACUGGCCGGUACUGACGCUGAGGUGCGAAAGCGUGGGGAGCAAACAGG
rnacentral:rRNA from 1 species